ensembl:lincRNA
CCAGGAGCCUGGAAGUGAGGAGCCAGCAUGUCCGAAAGGGACGAGGUGUCAGCUACAACAGGAAGCCUGCUACAGCUGGACACUGCUGGAGGGGGAAAUGGGGACAGGGAGAGAGUAUGGAGAAGAAGACUCACAAGCUGAUUUAUGCAUUUGUCUUUCCAUUCAUUCAUCCAGUAACACAAUGGAUAUCAAUACGGAGAGACAAUUGCUAACUGAGGUAAAGACAAAAGAAAUGUCAGAGUGGCCAAAAAGCUAUCUGAGUUGCAGUACGGAUAUUGUAGGAGUCAGCCACUUACAAUGAGAUGUUUAAACCAGACACGGAGCAAAUACAGAAGCAGGCAGCUCCUCGUACUUCCCAGCUCGGUGGCUCGUCUCUUCUCAGACCUCUGAAUCCCAGUCAGCUUACUGAUACCACUGUGUUGAGUCUUAAGCCUGUCCUACACAUACUGUGUGACCUCAGUGUCUUUGCCACCUGCUUCAGGAAUCUCACCGGGAGAAGACAAUCUCUUCAGCCCCUGCUCAGAGCAAAAUCAUCAGAGAAGCAACCUAGAAGUUGGAGAAGAUUCCACAGGGCAGUGGAUGAGAGCGCAGGCAUGAGAAAGGCCUAAGUUUGAAUCUCAACUCUGCCAUUCACUCAGGAAAUAUUUUAAGCUCCUUGAACCUCAGUUUCUUUGUCUGCAAAAUGGGAGUUACAAAUCUUACUCUGCAGAGUGUUUGUGAAGAUCAAAAGGAAUUCCACAGGGCUGGGGAAGAAAAGAAAGCUCAACUCCAUAGAAGAAUGGCAACUAACAAAGAAAAGGGAUGAUGGAAUUAGAGAAUCAAAUUGGAUGGAUUUGGGCAAGGGUCACUAGUGGAUGCUGCAACUAUUGGAUAGAAACCACCUUCACCAAGCAAUGAAAUCCACGAUCAUCAAUGAGAGGCAAAGAGACAUCCAGUGGCUCCUGGCCCUCUAUAUGCCUGGCUAAGGACACUCAGGCAGCUUCUUGAAAUUUCAGGAAACAGACCAACCUCAGUUAAGAGAUGUUCCAUAAGGCAUCUGCCUUGAACUCUUCCAACUACCAAUAUCAUGGAAGUAGAGUCCACUUUGGACUACAGUGGAGACAUGAAUGCAAUGCAUGAUUCUUACAUGAAUCCUAGAUCACGGAGGGAAAUGUCAUAAAGGACAUUUAAAAAUAUUUUUUUGAGAUAGGGCCUCAUUGUGUAGUGGAGGCUGGCCCUGAAAUCACUACACACAGUGAACCCAGGCUGGCCUCUAACUCACAGCAAUCUUCCUGCCUCAGCCUCUCAAGUGCUGGGUUUACACCAUGCUUAGGUCAUAAAGGAUGUUUUGAGGGUGAAUUAGGAAAGUAUGGGAUUUAGCUCAGCGGCAUAAGCGCCUGCCUUGCAAGCAGGCAGUCGUGAGUUUGAUCCCUGGUACCGGUAAAAAGGAAAAAGACCAAAAAAAAAAAAAAGGAAAGUAUGAAGAUGGGUGGCAUUGCGGAUAACACUGCAUCAAUGUUAAAACUC